CUUAAUCACAAUAUAACAUACAUAUAUUUUAACAUAAAGUAACCAAUGUCAUCAUUAAUUUUGUUACAAUUAUUUUGUAAAAUGACAUACAUAACAUCCUAGGUACAUGCCAUUACCAAAAGAAAUGUUCACCACCACAAUUAGUUCGGAAUCGGCUUUGGAUGCUGAUUCAACGAUCUGACUUUAACUUAACCUGCGCACGGAAACAACCGUACGCUGAGUAUGAGUAUACUCAGUGGUAUUACCAUAAUUCAAAUUAUAAUAGAAAUAAAGAAUUAUAAUUACCAAGCAUGUAACUAUCCAAUUUCCUAAAUAUCAAUUAAUUCAUCAAUUUUCAUUACUUGACAAUAACAAUACAAUUUUUAGCUAUUUUUCAAUUUCAAUCACAUAUCACCAUUUUAAAUUUUCUCAUAUUUAAUACGACAAUCGAUCAAAUUCAUUUGAUUUUCUCAUUUCAAUUAUUCACCCUAUUAACAAGCUGGACUUUGACGGACACAUGGAUUCCAACCCAACACAUCAGUACGGCACAUUGUGCCUAAAACGGUACAUAGUACCUGAUCAGUAGACGACACAUAAGUGCCUGAAACGACACACGAGGUGCCUGAUACGACACAUAAAGUGCUUGAGAUACGACACAUAAAGUGCCUGAUCGGCAAAGCCGAUAAAUCCCGUACUCUUCUAAAUCCUAAGGCAUGCCAACUAUAUCCAACUUAGCCCGACUAGUUAAUAGGGUAUUCAAAUUCUCAAUUCACUUUUAUUUUCAAUUCUAGAUCACUUUUCCACUUUCUAAUCAAUUGACAAUUUAAUACCAAUACAUAUUUCAAAUAAUCACAUAUAAUCAUAUUUCGAUUCAAUUCAAACCACUUUUCAAUCAAUGCACAAUUCACACAUAUUCAUAAAUUAAUUCACUUUAUUUAAUUCAUAUUUUAAAUUCAAUUUCCAACUAAAUUCAAAUCACUAAUUACUUUUCCAUCAAUAUACAUUUCUACUACUCACACACUUCCAUCAUUCAAUUCAAAUCACUAUUAUCAUUUCAAUUGCUUAACUAAUUUUACUUACCAUGCAUUUUAAUUAAAAUAUAACAAUUAAUAAUAAAUAGAUUUGAAUUAUAGUAAUACAAACCGGAAUUCUCUUCGGAUUUAAUCCUCGAUGAUCUUUUCUUUUCCUUUUUGGGCCGAUGCCUCAGGCUCGAUAUUAGCUACGAAUAAUUAAGAUAAUUUCACAAUCAUUAGCACAAAACAAUUUAAUUGCCGAAAUUUUUAUCUAACUUUUACUUUAAUUCUAAUUUAAUCCUAACUAACCUAUAUAUUUUUCUUUCUCAAUCCAUACCUUUUUACUACUUAAUUUCCUACCAAACUCACAUUUAACUAUCUAACUUUUAUCAUGUUUUUCAUAAUUUCAAAUUUAUUUCAAUUUAAUCCCUAAAAUUCAAAACUUAUAGUUUAGUUUACAAUUCAAUCCUUUAUUCAAUUCCAAAUAAAAUUUCUAUCAAAUAAAUCCCUAAUUUAACAAUUUAUUCAACAUGACCCAUGCUAAAAAAAAACUAUAAACUUCCAAAACCUCAACUUAUUUUCAACAAAACUUUAUUUUAAAACUUCUAAAACAUUUAAAAUUAAAAGAAAAGGACUUGAUUAAACUUACCUUUAAAGCUUUAAAACCUUAAAACCUCAAUUUUCCCUUUUCUUUCUUUCUUUUCUUCUUUCCUUCCUUCCUUCUCUGUUUCGUUUUGCCCUCUGUUUCUUUUU
rnacentral:lncRNA from 1 species